rnacentral:rRNA from 1 species
ACAUGCAAGUCGAGCGGACCGGGCGGAAGCUUGCUUCCGCUUGGUUAGCGGCGGACGGGUGAGUAACACGUGGGUAACCUGCCCGUAAGACCGGGAUAACUCCGGGAAACCGGAGCUAAUACCGGAUAACACCGAAGUCCGCAUGGUCUUCGGUUGAAAGGCGGCUUCGGCUGCCACUUACGGAUGGGCCCGCGGCGCAUUAGCUAGUUGGUGAGGUAACGGCUCACCAAGGCGACGAUGCGUAGCCGGCCUGAGAGGGUGACCGGCCACACUGGGACUGAGACACGGCCCAGACUCCUACGGGAGGCAGCAGUAGGGAAUCUUCCGCAAUGGACGAAAGUCUGACGGAGCGACGCCGCG